rfam:Dipodomys ordii contig_2978, whole genome shotgun sequence.
UGGGAAGUGGCUCAGUGGUAGAGUGCUUGCCUUCCAUGUAUGAGGCCCUGGGUUCAAUUCCUCAGCACCACAA